rnacentral:lncRNA from 1 species
CGAGAGGAGAAGCCUAAGAAAAGCUAUCAAUUUCUAAUGGAAACUGAAUGAAAAAGGAAACAUCCAGGCCCUCACCAGACAAGGUCAUGCCUGAUUCACCCUAAGAUGUAGCCUAAGACUAGAUCUCACCCAUGAAGUGUGAGGUGUCACUUCUGGGCCCAGCAUUCUAAGAAGCAUGUGCUCCUGCUGCCAGUCAUCUGGAGUAUUCUUUUUCGCUUUUCUAAUGUUUGUGACCCGCUGUU